GAAAGGAGAUAAGUAAUGUGAAUUGCAGAAUUCAGUGAAUCAUCGAAUCUUUGAACGCACCUUGCGCUCCUUGGUAUUCCUUGGAGCAUGCCUGUUUGAGUAUCAUGAAAUCUUCAAAGUAAAUCUUUUGUUAACUCAAUUGGUUUCUACUUUGGUAUUGGAGGUCUUUGCAGCUUCACACCUGCUCCUCUUUGUUCAUUAGCUGGAUCUCAGUGUUAUGCUUGGUUCCACUCGGCGUGAUAAGUUAUCUAUCGCUGAGGACACUGUAAAAGGUGGCCAAGGUAAAUGCAGAUGAACCGCUUCUAAUAGUCCAUUGACUUGGACAAUACUUUUAUGAUCUGAUCUCAAAUCAGGUAGGACUACCCGCUGAACUUAAGC
rnacentral:misc_RNA from 1 species